AUUGAACGCUGGCGGCAUGCCUUACACAUGCAAGUCGAGCGGCAGCGCGGGGGCAACCCUGGCGGCGAGCGGCGAACGGGUGAGUAAUACAUCGUAACGUGUCCUGUCGUGGGGGAUAACCAGUCGAAAGACUGGCUAAUACCGCAUGAGAUCGAAAGAUGAAAGCGGGGGAGCGCAAGGCCUCGCGCGAUUGGAGCGGCCGAUGUCGGAUUAGCUAGUGGACGGGGUAAAAGCCCACCAAGGCGACGAUGCGUAGCUGGUUUGAGAGAACGACCAGGCACACUGGGACUGAGACACGGCCGAGAAUCAUACGGGAGGCAGCAGUGGGGAAUUUUGGACAAUGGGGGCAACCCUGAUCCAGCCAUGCCGCGUGUGUGAAGAAGGCCUUCGGGUUGUAAAGCACUUUCGGCCGGAACGAAAUCGCGCGGGCUAUUACCCCGCGUGGAUGACGGUACCGGAAGAAGCACCGGCUAACUACGUGCCAGCCGCCGCCGUAA
rnacentral:rRNA from 1 species